AAAAUGCCGUCUGUAGUCCAUUCUCAUACUACAUUUUAGUUCUAUGAUAGAAACUGACCACCUACACACGUGCAUUACUCGUGUAUUAUUUGUAUGAGGAUAUAGGACUGUGUUUGUGUGCAAAAUCGAGAGAACUGUCAAAAACAGCGGAUAAUGAUGCAAAAAAUUCAGUUUGGUGGAAUAUAUAAUGAAGGAUACUACAGCGUGGCAUUGAUGCAAUUACAUCUGUAAAAGAGGACCUAAUGGUCGUGCGAAGGAUGACUUCUGAAAUUUUUCUGGGAAAUGGUGGAACUCUACAUCGUUCCUUGAUGUUUAUAUUGAAACUUGGCUGGCAGUCAAGAUUUCGUUUGCCAGUACUUCUGGUCAUUGUCUUUGUCGCCAUGGAUUACAGAUUACAAUUAGAGAUAGAAUUUGGAGACAAUGCAGAUCAACAUAAUCAUUUAUAAUUUGAACAGAGAAAAACAGAUAGAUAAUAAUUUGACAUAAGACUGUUACUUUAUAUACUUAACAUAUGCAUAUAAUGCAAAAGGUUUAGUGGAAAGUAUAAAAUAUGAACUGUAUUAUUUACACACUAUCAUGAAUGUAAUACAUAUAUGAACUGUUGACAAAUAUUAACAAUUGUAUCAUACAUAUUUUAUAUGUGCAUGUCUACUCAUAUAUGGAAUUUUUUGCUCAGUACUUGCCAAUUUGCAACGCUUGUACUUUUGCUAGACUGUCAUUGCAUUUGUCAUAUCAGAAUUUAAGAAUUUUGCGUUUUAUUGUAAUAUAUUUAUAUCGAAUACAUAUAUGCUAUUUAAGUUAAGUUUAUGAUUUCAUUAUAAAAAUAAAUAGUAAUAAGGGGGCGGAUUUAGUUUACUUGUUUCGUGCAAGGCUGUAAGAUAAAUUGUUUCUAAGAUGUAAGAUUUGACAUAAAUAUCAAUAAUUUUCACAAAAAAUUAUAUAUUUUGCCCUAAAAUAAGGCAAUUAUUUAUUUUGUAAUUAAUUUUUGUAAAUUGUAUAAUGUAACAUGGAAGUUGUGUUAUGAAUAAAUAAACAAGAAACCAUUUAUUUUAUAUUAA